rnacentral:rRNA from 1 species
AGAGUUUGAUCAUGGCUCAGAUUGAACGCUGGCGGCAGGCCUAACACAUGCAAGUCGAACGGUAACAGGAAGCAGCUUGCUGCUUUGCUGACGAGUGGCGGACGGGUGAGUAAUGUCUGGGAAACUGCCUGAUGGAGGGGGAUAACUACUGGAAACGGUGGCUAAUACCGCAUAACGUCGCAAGACCAAAGAGGGGGACCUUCGGGCCUCUUGCCAUCAGAUGUGCCCAGAUGGGAUUAGCUUGUUGGUGAGGUAACGGCUCACCAAGGCGACGAUCCCUAGCUGGUCUGAGAGGAUGACCAGCCACACUGGAACUGAGACACGGCCCAGACUCCUACGGGAGGCAGCAGUGGGGAAUAUUGCACAAUGGGCGCAAGCCUGAUGCAGCCAUGCCGCGUGUAUGAAGAAGGCCUUCGGGUUGUAAAGUACUUUCAGCGGGGAGGAAGGUGUUGUGGUUAAUAACCGCAGCAAUUGACGUUACCCGCAGAAGAAGCACCGGCUAACUCCGUGCCAGCAGCCGCGGUAAUACGGAGGGUGCAAGCGUUAAUCGGAAUUACUGGGCGUAAAGCGCACGCAGGCGGUCUGUCAAGUCGGAUGUGAAAUCCCCGGGCUCAACCUGGGAACUGCAUUCGAAACUGGCAGGCUUGAGUCUUGUAGAGGGGGGUAGAAUUCCAGGUGUAGCGGUGAAAUGCGUAGAGAUCUGGAGGAAUACCGGUGGCGAAGGCGGCCCCCUGGACAAAGACUGACGCUCAGGUGCGAAAGCGUGGGGAGCAAACAGGAUUAGAUACCCUGGUAGUCCACGCCGUAAACGAUGUCUACUUGGAGGUUGUGCCCUUGAGGCGUGGCUUCCGGAGCUAACGCGUUAAGUAGACCGCCUGGGGAGUACGGCCGCAAGGUUAAAACUCAAAUGAAUUGACGGGGGCCCGCACAAGCGGUGGAGCAUGUGGUUUAAUUCGAUGCAACGCGAAGAACCUUACCUGGUCUUGACAUCCACAGAAGAAUCCAGAGAUGGAUUUGUGCCUUCGGGAACUGUGAGACAGGUGCUGCAUGGCUGUCGUCAGCUCGUGUUGUGAAAUGUUGGGUUAAGUCCCGCAACGAGCGCAACCCUUAUCCUUUGUUGCCAGCGGUUAGGCCGGGAACUCAAAGGAGACUGCCAGUGAUAAACUGGAGGAAGGUGGGGAUGACGUCAAGUCAUCAUGGCCCUUACGACCAGGGCUACACACGUGCUACAAUGGCGCAUACAAAGAGAAGCGACCUCGCGAGAGCAAGCGGACCUCAUAAAGUGCGUCGUAGUCCGGAUUGGAGUCUGCAACUCGACUCCAUGAAGUCGGAAUCGCUAGUAAUCGUGGAUCAGAAUGCCACGGUGAAUACGUUCCCGGGCCUUGUACACACCGCCCGUCACACCAUGGGAGUGGGUUGCAAAAGAAGUAGGUAGCUUAACCUUCGGGAGGGCGCUUACCACUUUGUGAUUCAUGACUGGGGUGAAGUCGUAACAAGGUAACCGUAGGGGAACCUGCGGUUGGAUCACCUCCUU